rnacentral:rRNA from 1 species
UGCCAGUUAUCGUGCCAACGGUAAACGCUGGGUAGCCAUGUGCGGAGUGGAUAACCGCUGAAAGCAUCUAAGUGGGAAGCCCACCUCAAGAUGAGUAUUCUCAUGGGGUAACCCAGUAAGGUCACGGGAAGAACACCCGUUGAUAGGCUCUACGUGGAAGCGCGGCAACGUGUGAAGCGGAGGAGUACUAAUAGACCGAGGGCUUGACCAU